rnacentral:rRNA from 1 species
AGCGAACGCUGGCGGCAGGCCUAACACAUGCAAGUCGAACGGAUCCUUCGGGAUUAGUGGCGGACGGGUGAGUAACACACGGGAACGUGCCCUUUGGUUCGGAACAACUCAGGGAAACUUGAGCUAAUACCGGAUGUGCCCUUCGGGGGAAAGAUUUAUCGCCAUUGGAGCGGCCCGCGUCUGAUUAGCUAGUUGGUGAGGUAAAGGCUCACCAAGGCGACGAUCAGUAGCUGGUCUGAGAGGAUGAUCAGCCACAUUGGGACUGAGACACGGCCCAAACUCCUACGGGAGGCAGCAGUGGGGAAUCUUGCGCAAUGGGCGAAAGCCUGACGCAGCCAUGCCGCGUGAAUGAUGAAGGUCUUAGGAUUGUAAAAUUCUUUCACCGGGGACGAUAAUGACGGUACCCGGAGAAGAAGCCCCGGCUAACUUCGUGCCAGCCGCCGCCGUAAAAC